AACGAACGCUGGCGGCAUGCUUAACACAUGCAAGUCGAACGAGGCCUUCGGGUCUAGUGGCGCACGGGUACGUAACGCGUGGGAACCUGCCCUUAGGUUCGGAAUAACUUCCCGAAAGGGGUGGUAAUACCGGAUAAUGUCAUCGGACCAAAGAUUUAUGGGUUUUGGAUGGGCCCGCGGUGGAUUAGCUAGUUGGUAGGGUAAAAGACGACCAAGGCGACGAUGCAUAGCUGGUCUGAGAGGAUGAUCAGCCACACUGGGACUGAGACACGGCCCAGACUCGUACGGGAGGCAGCAGUGGGGAAUAUUGGACAAUGGGCGAAAGCCUGAUCCAGCAAUGCCGCGUGAGUGAUGAAGGCCUUAGGGUUGUAAAGCUCUUUUACCCGGGAUGAUAAUGACAGUACCGGGAGAAUAAGCGCCGGCUAACUACGUG
rnacentral:rRNA from 1 species